AAAAUACCAUAUAAUAUGCAUAAUAAAAGAAUUUUGUUGUCUAAAUCUGUUUGUAUUAUAACAGUAUUUUACAUCAAAAUACAUUAUUAUUGCUAUUUUAAACAUUCUGAUAUUCUUACAAUACACACACACACACACACACACACACACGUAUAUUAAUUGUAAGUGUGUUUUUAAAAUUAUUUGGUUAAGCAGCAUAUAAUUCUCUGAAUGUAUGAUUGUAUAAAAAAAAUCUUUAAAUCACACUAAUGGAUGACACAAAAUAUUAAUAAUAAUAUAUAACAAUUAUGUUAGCAAAGAACAUGUUACAUUUCCAGGUCUGUAUUGUCUGGAAUAUGUUUUGUUCCAGCACACCUGCGUAUGAUUUUCCAGACUUUGAUUAGCUGCUUCAGGUGUGUUUGAUUAGAGUUGGACGUAAACUCUGCAGGAAGGUAGAUCUCAGUAGCAACCCUGGUUUAAACAAUUAAAGGCCUUAAUGGAAAAGGCCUGUGGAAUGUUUGGAUAAUGAACUCUUGGAAAGGGUGUAAUUGGUGUCAGGUGUUCCAGUCAGUUCAGGUGUAACACCCCACCAUAAACAUAACUGCACAAUAUUAAUUCCCUGCUGUUCAAAAGGAAUAUGAAAAGACCUAUGAAAAAUAUUUCAAAAGGGUUGAGAAGACAUGUUGGCCUUCAUCAGUCUGCUGUGGUUUAUCUCAUCAGGAGGACAAUGAGCGGGAGAUGGGGUCGCCUCAGAGUCCAGAGAGGGCAACACAAGUGUGGCAUUGUAGGCCAAAGGAGAGACGGCCAUUGUUCCUGCCCGCUGCCUGCCACAGCUGUGCACGAAUAAGUGCAGGGACAAACCACAACAUAUAUCAAUGUGGAGGCUGUGAGGGAUGGUCCACGGGUGUCCACACUCAAAGAAGCCUAGUGUCUUUCAACUAAGAAAUGCCAAAGGGCGCACAAAUCACUCAAGGUGACGCUUUUAUUGCUUUAAAUCCACAGGAGAGCUAGUAAAAGGAACAAACUCCCGAUGAAUAGAAAAUGUGUGAGAUAUUUUAUCUAUGCAUAUGUGUGAAUAAAUACAUAGUGUAAAAAAAAAUCCAUAUACUUCAAUGAAAAAAGUUCAGCUGCUGCUUUAAAUUAAGUAUAUUCAAAUUGGCUGUGCAAGUCAUUUCCAAUGAAAUUAUAUUAAACUGAAUUGAAAUAUACAGGUGCAUCUCAAUAAAUUAGAAUGUUGUGGAAAAGUUAAUUUAUUUCAGUAAUUCAACUCAAAUUGUGAAGCUCGUGUAUUCAAUCAAUUCAAUGCACACAGACUGAAGUAGUUUAAGUCUUUGGUUAUUUUAAAUGUGAUGAUUUUGGCUCACAUUUAAGAGAAACCCACCAAUCCACCCUCUCCACAAAUUAGAAUACUUCAUAAGACCAAAAAAAAAAAAAAAAAAAAAACAUUUUAGUGAAUCGUUGGCCUUCUGAAAAGUAUGUUCAUUUACUGUACAUGUACUCAAUACAUGGUAGGGGCUCCUUUUGCUUUAAUUACUGCCUCAAUUUUUGUUAAAUGUGAGCCAAAAUCAUCACAAUUAAAAGAACCAAAGACUUAAACUACUUCAGUCUGUGUGCAUUGAAUUUAUUUAAUACACAAGUUUCACAAUUUCAGUUGAAUUACUGAAAUAAAUGAACUUUUCCAUGAGAUUCUAUGUAAAUCCCAUAAUAUUUUCCCUCAUCUGGAAUACUUAUUGAAUGCAUUUCCUAAUAGAAGUGAUAAUGUGUUUUAUCUAAAUGUCAAAUAAACAUAACUGCAUGCAAAUAGGGAAAUGCAACAAGUGUCUUCUCUCUGGCCAGAUCUAACAAAUGAUCCUGCUGUGGAAGAAGUAAUUUGUACAUUUUCAGCCUGGAAGAUAAAAGAAGGACCUUAGUAUUUGUGCUGCAUUUUACAUGAUUCAACAUGAAACUAAGUAGAAACAUCUCACACUCAACAGGCCACUGCAUCUAGGCUAGUCAAUGAACUGGAAGGAAAUUGGACAUGGUAUCUGCAGGAUAUUGGCAGCAGGCAGGGCUCCCUAUGAUCGCAGCUGAAAAUGAACGGCGAGGGGGCAAGUUGGGCACAGCAUGUUCACCCCAAGCGUGCCCUUUAAGAGCUGUGAGUGCAUUUAUCGCUGCAGGAGCGCCCUAAGUCCACACUAAGCUUCUCUUCCAUAACAUACAGAAUUAGCCCUCACUCCUCGCUCUUUCUCAUGCUCUUCUUGUGCUCCUGUUAUUAGCUACCGUUCUGGACAAAUAUUGUGGUUGUGGAGUCAGAAGAGAUAUCUGUCUUACAAAAUGAGCAAGAUAGGGACAGAAAGAGGUUAGGAGCUGUGCUCUUGGACAGGAGAAGAAUGCUGUGAGGAGCAUGCACAUUAAAAGCUCAGAAAUACUUAUUUUUCUUGAAGUCAUGUCAGGUUUGUGGCCAUCAAUAUAAAAAUAUAUACACUACCGUUUGAAAGUUUGGUGUCAGUAAGAUUUUUUUGAAAGAAUAUUAAGAAAUAUAGCUACAGUUUAACAUAACAGUUUUCUAUUUUAAAAUAUAUUUUAAAAGAUAAUUUAUCCCUGUGAUGGCAAAGCUGAUUUUUUUGUAUAUUGUUAUUUAAUUAAUUUAAUGUACAGAUACAGUAUAUGACCAUUUUGCAUGUUAACAUUUUGAUCAUUCCAUACCAUAUCUUCUGCUCUACAAUUAUGUGAAUUAUAUAAUUCUACAAUUAUGUGAAUUAUAUAUAUAUAUAUAUAUAUAUAUAUAUAUAUAUAUAUAUAUACAGGUCCUUCUCAAAAAAUUAGCAUAUUGUGAAAAAAGUUCAUUAUUUUCCAUAAUAUAAUGAUAAAAAAAUUAAACUUUCAUAUAUUUUU
ensembl:lncRNA